rnacentral:tRNA from 1 species
UCCGUAAUGGUCUAGUGGCUAGGAUUCCUCGCUUUCAAGCGCUAAGCUGUCCCGAGGCGGCCGGGGUUCAAUUCCCCGUUACGGAA